GUGUCAGCAGCCGCGGUAAUACGAAGGGGGCUAGCGUUGCUCGGAAUCACUGGGCGUAAAGGGUGCGUAGGCGGGUUUUUAAGUCAGGGGUGAAAUCCUGGAGCUCAACUCCAGAACUGCCUUUGAUACUGAAGAUCUCGAGUCCGGGAGAGGUGAGUGGAACUGCGAGUGUAGAGGUGAAAUUCGUAGAUAUUCGCAAGAACACCAGUGGCGAAGGCGGCUCACUGGCCCGGUACUGACGCUGAGGUGCGAAAGCGUGGGGAGCGAACGGGAUUAGAUACCCCGGUAGUCCACGCCCUAAACGAUGCAGACUAGACUGCAGCGGGUUUCACCCCGUUGCGGUCGGAGCGAAAUUGUUAAGUCUGCCACCUGGGAAGUACGGUCGCAAGGCUAAAACUUAAAGGAAUUGACGG
rnacentral:rRNA from 1 species